UUAAAUUGAAGAGUUUGAUCAUGGCUCAGAUUGAACGCUGGCGGCAGGCCUAACACAUGCAAGUCGAACGGUAACAGGAAGCAGCUUGCUGCUUUGCUGACGAGUGGCGGACGGGUGAGUAAUGUCUGGGAAACUGCCUGAUGGAGGGGGAUAACUACUGGAAACGGUAGCUAAUACCGCAUAACGUCGCAAGACCAAAGAGGGGGACCUUCGGGCCUCUUGCCAUCGGAUGUGCCCAGAUGGGAUUAGCUUGUUGGUGGGGUAACGGCUCACCAAGGCGACGAUCCCUAGCUGGUCUGAGAGGAUGACCAGCCACACUGGAACUGAGACACGGUCCAGACUCCUACGGGAGGCAGCAGUGGGGAAUAUUGCACAAUGGGCGCAAGCCUGAUGCAGCCAUGCCGCGUGUAUGAAGAAGGCCUUCGGGUUGUAAAGUACUUUCAGCGGGGAGGAAGGGAGUAAAGUUAAUACCUUUACUCAUUGACGUUACCCGCAGAAGAAGCACCGGCUAACUCCGUGCCAGCAGCCGCGGUAAUACGGAGGGUGCAAGCGUUAAUCGGAAUUACUGGGCGUAAAGCGCACGCAGGCGGUUUGUUAAGUCAGAUGUGAAAUCCCCGGGCUCAACCUGGGAACUGCAUCUGAUACUGGCAAGCUUGAGUCUCGUAGAGGGGGGUAGAAUUCCAGGUGUAGCGGUGAAAUGCGUAGAGAUCUGGAGGAAUACCGGUGGCGAAGGCGGCCCCCUGGACGAAGACUGACGCUCAGGUGCGAAAGCGUGGGGAGCAAACAGGAUUAGAUACCCUGGUAGUCCACGCCGUAAACGAUGUCGACUUGGAGGUUGUGCCCUUGAGGCGUGGCUUCCGGAGCUAACGCGUUAAGUCGACCGCCUGGGGAGUACGGCCGCAAGGUUAAAACUCAAAUGAAUUGACGGGGGCCCGCACAAGCGGUGGAGCAUGUGGUUUAAUUCGAUGCAACGCGAAGAACCUUACCUGGUCUUGACAUCCACAGAACCCUGUAGAGAUACGGGGGUGCCUUCGGGAACUGUGAGACAGGUGCUGCAUGGCUGUCGUCAGCUCGUGUUGUGAAAUGUUGGGUUAAGUCCCGCAACGAGCGCAACCCUUAUCCUUUGUUGCCAGCGGUCCGGCCGGGAACUCAAAGGAGACUGCCAGUGAUAAACUGGAGGAAGGUGGGGAUGACGUCAAGUCAUCAUGGCCCUUACGACCAGGGCUACACACGUGCUACAAUGGCGCAUACAAAGAGAAGCGACCUCGCGAGAGCAAGCGGACCUCAUAAAGUGCGUCGUAGUCCGGAUUGGAGUCUGCAACUCGACUCCAUGAAGUCGGAAUCGCUAGUAAUCGUGGAUCAGAAUGCCACGGUGAAUACGUUCCCGGGCCUUGUACACACCGCCCGUCACACCAUGGGAGUGGGUUGCAAAAGAAGUAGGUAGCUUAACCUUCGGGAGGGCGCUUACCACUUUGUGAUUCAUGACUGGGGUGAAGUCGUAACAAGGUAACCGUAGGGGAACCUGCGGUUGGAUCACCUCCUUACCUUAAAGAAGC
rnacentral:rRNA from 1 species